AGAGUUUGAUCCUGGCUCAGAUUGAACGCUGGCGGCAUGCUUUACACAUGCAAGUCGAACGGCAGCACGGGUGCUUGCACCUGGUGGCGAGUGGCGGACGGGUGAGUAAUGCAUCGGAACGUGUCCUUAAGUGGGGGAUAACGCAUCGAAAGAUGUGCUAAUACCGCAUAAUCUCUGAGGAGAAAAGCAGGGGAUUGUAAGACCUUGCGCUUUUGGAGCGGCCGAUGCCUGAUUAGCUAGUUGGUGGGGUAAUGGCCUACCAAAGCUUCGAUCAGUAGCUGGUCUGAGAGGACGGCCAGCCACACUGGGACUGAGAUAUGGCCCAGACUCCUAUGGGAGGCAGCAGUGGGGAAUUUUGGACAAUGGGCGUAAGCCUGAUCCAGCCAUGCCGCGUGAGUGAAGAAGGCCUUUGGGUUGUAAAGCUCUUUCAGCCGGGAAGAAAAGGUUGCGAUUAAUAAUCGCAAUUUAUGACGGUACCGGAAGAAGAAGUACCGGCUAACUACGUGCCAGUAGUUGUGGUAAUACGUAGGGUGCGAGCGUUAAUCGGAAUUACUGGGCGUAAAGGGUGCGCAGGCGGUUUUGUAAGUCAGAUGUGAAAUCCCCGGGUUUAACCUGGGAACUGCGUUUGAAACUACAAGACUAGAGUGUAGCAGAGGGGGGUGGAAUUCCAUGUGUAGCAGUGAAAUGCGUAGAGAUAUGGAAGAACACCGAUGGCGAAGGCAGCCCCCUGGGUUAACACUGACGCUCAGGCACGAAAGCGUGGGGAGUAAACAGGAUUAGAUACCCUGGUAGUCCACGCCCUAAACGAUGUCAACUAGUUGUCGGGUCUUAAUAGACUUGGUAACGUAGCUAAUGCGUGAAGUUGACCGCCUGGGGAGUACGGUCGUAAGAUUAAAACUCAAAGGAAUUGACGG
rnacentral:rRNA from 1 species